AAGUCGAGCGGUAAGGCCCUUCGGGGUACACGAGCGGCGAACGGGUGAGUAACACGUGGGUGAUCUGCCUCGCACUCUGGGAUAAGCCUGGGAAACUGGGUCUAAUACCGGAUAUGACCUUACAUCGCAUGGUGUUUGGUGGAAAGAUUUAUCGGUGCGAGAUGGGCCCGCGGCCUAUCAGCUUGUUGGUGGGGUAAUGGCCUACCAAGGCGACGACGGGUAGCCGGCCUGAGAGGGCGACCGGCCACACUGGGACUGAGACACGGCCCAGACUCCUACGGGAGGCAGCAGUGGGGAAUAUUGCACAAUGGGCGAAAGCCUGAUGCAGCGACGCCGCGUGAGGGAUGACGGCCUUCGGGUUGUAAACCUCUUUCGACAGGGACGAAGCGCAAGUGACGGUACCUGUAGAAGAAGCACCGGCCAACUACGUGCCAGCAGCCGCGGUAAUACGUAGGGUGCGAGCGUUGUCCGGAAUUACUGGGCGUAAAGAGCUUGUAGGCGGCUUGUCGCGUCGAUCGUGAAAACUUGGGGCUCAACCCCAAGCUUGCGGUCGAUACGGGCAGGCUUGAGUACUUCAGGGGAGACUGGAAUUCCUGGUGUAGCGGUGAAAUGCGCAGAUAUCAGGAGGAACACCGGUGGCGAAGGCGGGUCUCUGGGAAGUAACUGACGCUGAGAAGCGAAAGCGUGGGUAGCGAACAGGAUUAGAUACCCUGGUAGUCCACGCCGUAAACGGUGGGUACUAGGUGUGGGUUUCCUUCCACGGGAUCCGUGCCGUAGCUAACGCAUUAAGUACCCCGCCUGGGGAGUACGGCCGCAAGGCUAAAACUCAAAGGAAUUGACGGGGGCCCGCACAAGCGGCGGAGCAUGUGGAUUAAUUCGAUGCAACGCGAAGAACCUUACCUGGGUUUGACAUACACCGGAAACCUGCAGAGAUGUAGGCCCCCUUGUGGUCGGUGUACAGGUGGUGCAUGGCUGUCGUCAGCUCGUGUCGUGAGAUGUUGGGUUAAGUCCCGCAACGAGCGCAACCCUUAUCUUAUGUUGCCAGCGCGUAAUGGCGGGGACUCGUGAGAGACUGCCGGGGUCAACUCGGAGGAAGGUGGGGACGACGUCAAGUCAUCAUGCCCCUUAUGUCCAGGGCUUCACACAUGCUACAAUGGCCGGUACAGAGGGCUGCGAUACCGUGAGGUGGAGCGAAUCCCUUAAAGCCGGUCUCAGUUCGGAUCGGGGUCUGCAACUCGACCCCGUGAAGUUGGAGUCGCUAGUAAUCGCAGAUCAGCAACGCUGCGGUGAAUACGUUCCCGGGCCUUGUACACACCGCCCGUCACGUCAUGAAAGUCGGUAACACCCGAAGCCGGUGGCCUAACCCCUUGUGGGAGGGAG
rnacentral:rRNA from 1 species